rnacentral:rRNA from 1 species
AACGAACGCUGGCGGCAGGCUUAACACAUGCAAGUCGAGCGCCCCGCAAGGGGAGCGGCAGACGGGUGAGUAACGCGUGGGAAUCUACCCAUCUCUACGGAAUAACGCAUGGAAACGUGUGCUAAUACCGUAUACGUCCUUAGGGAGAAAGAUUUAUCGGAGAUGGAUGAGCCCGCGUUGGAUUAGCGAGUUGGUGGGGUAAAGGCCUACCAAGGCAACGAUCCAUAGCUGGUCUGAGAGGAUGAUCAGCCACACUGGGACUGAGACACGGCCCAGACUCCUACGGGAGGCAGCAGUGGGGAAUAUUGGACAAUGGGCGCAAGCCUGAUCCAGCCAUGCCGCGUGAGUGAUGAAGGCCCUAGGGUUGUAAAGCUCUUUCACCGGUUAAGAUAAUGACGGUAACCUGAUAAGAAGCCCCGGCUAACUUCGUGCCAGCCGCCGCCGUAAUAC